GCUUCCUCUGAUCUGGCAUGACAGAAAUUCAAAAAGCAUGCAUACUGGUAAUGCUUAUAUGAAGCAUAGCACUCAAUGAUUUACCCUUUAACGUUGCACUCAGUUAUUAAUCAGACUAUGGUAUCUGCAGAGAAAUACUUCAGAAUAUUCAGUUCAGCAUUCUCCAGGACUUUGGACAUGUAUAAUUGCUGAAAAUAAUAGGGGCAGGUUAAUUUGCCACUCUCAUCCUUUUGUUGCCACCCAAAGUUGGCCAAUGUGGAAGUUCACUUCUGUAUUAGCUAACCUUCAGCAAAUAAACUUGGUUUCAAGGAAGUGCCCUGAUUUUUGUUAAACUGCUCAAAAUUGGUUUGACACCCACGGUGCCGGAAGACAAAGUGUUGUAGUAGUUACUAGUUAUGGAGCCUAAGGUGACCCUUUUAUGUUGCCGUUACUGUUAAAGAAUUAUUAUGCUAAGGGUUAAACAUACAAUGUAAAUAUAUAGACCAUUUACUCACUGUACCCCCUCAUGGUGGUACUACCUGCACUCAAAAUAUUUGUUUAUGAUAGCAGUCAUAAUUUUCCGCACACAAAGGCACACAACAACACACACAUACGCAGGCAGGCAUACACAGACCAAGAUAGGCACACAUACACCAAUAGGAACAUACAGGUACACACAGACAGAAGCAUGCACUUCCUCCCAGCUAACUCAGAGCCUUGCUGGAGGGAGGCAGGCGAGGGGUGCAGAGUGGGACAACUUAUGACUUCCAACAGUCUCCGUUAACUGAAUGGUAGGAAGCGGUGGCUUAAAAUGUGUAAAUUUUGCAUGCCUGUCUGUAUGUGUAUCUUUAUGUCUGUAUGUGUGUCUGUGUAUCUGCAUGUGUGUCAGUGUGUGCCCCUGUGCAUGUGUGUGUGUCUGUACCUGUAUGUGUGUCAGUGUUUGUAUCUGUAUGAGGGUCAUUCUGUGUAUCUGAAUAUGUCUUUCUGUGUGUCUGUGUAUAUGUAAUUGUUAAUGUUUGUCUGUAAAUAUGCAUGUGUGUAAGUGUGUGCCCCUGUGCAUCUGUAUGUGUGCCCAUUGUGUCUAUCUGUGUAUCUGCAUGUGUCAUAUGGUGUGUGCAUCUGUAUGUGUGUUAUUGUGUGUGUAUCUGUGUAUCUGCAUGUGUCAUAUGGUGUGUGCAUCUGUAUGUGUGUUAUUGUGUGUGUAUCUUUAUGUGUGGUAUUGUGUGUAUCUGUUUGCCUUAUCUGUGUGUGUGUGUGUGUCUGUUUAUUUGUAUGUGUGUAAGUGUGUGUCUAUCUGCAUUUAUGACUUUGUGUGUCAUUGUGUAUCUGUGUGUCAGUGAGUGCACCCAUGUGUCUGUGUAUGCCUUUAUGUGUCUGUGUGUCUGCAUGUCUGUACCUGUGUAUGUAUGUAUCUGUAUGUGCGUCAGUGCUUGCAGCUGUAUGUGUGUCAAUGUGUGUAUCUGUGUGUCUGCCUCUGCAUGUGUGUCAACAUUUCUGUAUGUGUAUUAGUAAGUGUGCGUGGCUAUGUAUAUGUGCAUAUAUCUUAGCAUUCAUAUGCCAACACUGCACACAUUUACCCCUGCAUUCAAAUGUCAACACUACAUACAGACACAUCCCUACGUUCAAAGGCAAACACUACACACAAGUAAAGCACUGCUUUCAAAUAGCUACAGUGCAUAAAACACACACAGCACUACACACAAGCUCCUACAUUCACACACAUACUCCAUACAAAACCGUACUUGCAUUCAAACA